rnacentral:rRNA from 1 species
UACAUAGGGACCAAGCGUUGUUCGGAUUUACUGGGCGGAAAGGGCGCGUAGGCGGCAAAUUAAGUCAUCUGUGAAAUCUCCGAGCUUAACUCGGAACGGUCAGGUGAUACUGAUCUGCUAGAGUGCGGAAGGGGCAAUCGGAAUUCUUGGUGUAGCGGUGAAAUGCGUAGAUAUUAAGAGGAACACCUGAGGUGAAGACGGGUUGCUGGGCCGACACUGACGCUGACAGCGCGAAAGCCAGGGGAGCAAACGGG